CCAAGCUAAACAAAGCAAGCAGCACAGCACAGCACAGCACAGCAAUACAUACAGUACGAAAUGCGUCCGUACGACUCCGACGGCUGGCCCGGCAUCGAACUCUCCCGCCCUCUCACCGACUAUCUCUCCGACCCCGACAAAAUAACUCACCCACUCUACCGUUUCCUCGCCAACUACAUUGCUACAAAAACCUCUUCCCUCACCGAAGUCGAGAUAGCUCGCCUCACCACCGCCGAGAUAAAUAACCUCAUCUCUCAACUCCCUGAACCUGAGAUCAACCGCAUCCUCAACGCCGGCGUUUCCGAGCUUUUCGCCGGCAUCACUGAACAAAUCGCUCCUUACUUGGCCAUGUUUUUUGCCGGUUGCUUUGGCCUCACACUCCUAAGUUGCUUCUUCAUUUACCGGGGGUGGAACAGAAGAUUGCUAUCUUCUCGGCAUGCUGGACAUCCCCGACAUGCUGUCAUCUUCUUUACCAAUGUUGCUUUUGAGGAAGUAGAGCACAAUGAGGAAGGCACAUCUGACGUUUCAAGCACUGGAUCUACUGUUAAUGAUCCGGAGAGUCACCCAUGAAUGGGAGUCUUUCUCCUUGCCGGCAUAUACUCCAUGCAAAGAGAAACAAAUCAGGUGAAGAGAAGUUUGUUCUGAAGUUGAUAGAGGAAAGAUUCAUCAAGAUGAAGAAUUUUAAGAAUGCCUUAGCAACUUGUGGGUAUGAAAGUUUACUUUAGAAUCGCCGGAUAGCUUAAAUGAACAAGAAUUAGAAGAUUAUUUGUCAAAUUGUGAGAUACUAAUUAAUUCCGUUGAGGGGGAAAUAGGAGACUGGUUGUAGAAUGUAAUUACUUUUUUUGUUUUGUUAGGAGCAUGUAUAUCAAUAGUUCAAACUUCAAACAAGCCAGACAUUUUGUAUAGGGCUGCUGCAAUAGUUCUAAAGCAAUUUUAGAUUUAAGUUUCAAUCUGCAAAUGAACACACUAUAAUUCGUGUAGUUGUGAUGCAACACUUAUGAGCGACAUGCAAAGUCAAAAAUUGGUACCAAGUUGAUUUGGUUUCCAUUUUCA